CAGUCGAGCGGACAGAAGGGAGCUUGCUCCCGGAUGUUAGCGGCGGACGGGUGAGUAACACGUGGGUAACCUGCCUGUAAGACUGGGAUAACUCCGGGAAACCGGAGCUAAUACCGGAUAGUUCCUUGAACCGCAUGGUUCAAGGAUGAAAGACGGUUUCGGCUGUCACUUACAGAUGGACCCGCGGCGCAUUAGCUAGUUGGUGAGGUAACGGCUCACCAAGGCGACGAUGCGUAGCCGACCUGAGAGGGUGAUCGGCCACACUGGGACUGAGACACGGCCCAGACUCCUACGGGAGGCAGCAGUAGGGAAUCUUCCGCAAUGGACGAAAGUCUGACGGAGCAACGCCGCGUGAGUGAUGAAGGUUUUCGGAUCGUAAAGCUCUGUUGUUAGGGAAGAACAAGUGCAAGAGUAACUGCUUGCACCUUGACGGUACCUAACCAGAAAGCCACGGCUAACUACGUGCCAGCAGCCGCGGUAAUACGUAGGUGGCAAGCGUUGUCCGGAAUUAUUGGGCGUAAAGGGCUCGCAGGCGGUUUCUUAAGUCUGAUGUGAAAGCCCCCGGCUCAACCGGGGAGGGUCAUUGGAAACUGGGAAACUUGAGUGCAGAAGAGGAGAGUGGAAUUCCACGUGUAGCGGUGAAAUGCGUAGAGAUGUGGAGGAACACCAGUGGCGAAGGCGACUCUCUGGUCUGUAACUGACGCUGAGGAGCGAAAGCGUGGGGAGCGAACAGGAUUAGAUACCCUGGUAGUCCACGCCGUAAACGAUGAGUGCUAAGUGUUAGGGGGUUUCCGCCCCUUAGUGCUGCAGCUAACGCAUUAAGCACUCCGCCUGGGGAGUACGGUCGCAAGACUGAAACUCA
rnacentral:rRNA from 1 species